AAUAAAAUGCCUGAUUAAAGGAUUGCUUUGAUAGAGCAAAUCAUGUGUUUAAACACUUUUAUUA
rnacentral:tRNA from 1 species